CAUUGGCUCUUCGCGACCACGCGACCAAUUCAGUUUAUCCAUCCUCUGUUUAGCAAGAAAGCAUACUCCAGGAUGUCUGAAAUUUCACCUUCCGAUCCCGCUGUCGAAUUUAAUUUACUAUGUUUACCAGUGGAGCUUUGGGUCAUGAUCCUGAGAUAUCUAGACCCAACCUCGCUGAUGAUGGCUACCAGAGCCAAUGACCAAUGGGCACGAAUCACCCGAGACGACCCAGUUUUGUGGAAGACCCUCAAGGAGCACCUUUUGCAACGAAAAAGACGCUUUGAUGAGAUUGUGUUUAAUAUGAUUCCACCAUUCAUACCUAUACGUUUAUUACUGUCUGCUACCAUACAACACCAGGAAGAUGGUUCACUUAGAAUUACAAGCACAAAUGGCAAUUAUUACAACCCACGCAAAAAGUAAACUUCUCUAAAAUGAAAACGUUGGACUAAUUCGCAAAAAGCACAAAACAAUGAAUUUUGUGAAACAGUGUAAAAUUAAUAAAACUUAUUAUUGUGUUAUGAA